rnacentral:rRNA from 1 species
UUAAGUGACUAAGCGUACAAGGUGGAUGCCUUGGCAAUCAGAGGCGAAGAAGGACGUGCUAAUCUGCGAAAAGCUUGGAUGAGUCGAUAAGAGGCGUUUAAUCCAAGAUGUCCGAAUGGGGAAACCCAGUAGAUGAAGAAUCUACUAUCACUUACUGAAUCCAUAGGUAAGUGAGGCAAACCGGGAGAACUGAAACAUCUAAGUACCCCGAGGAAAAGAAAUCAACCGAGAUUCCGCAAGUAGCGGCGAGCGAACGCGGAGAAGCCCAAUUAAGUUGCGUAUGAGUUAGUAGAACAUCCUGGGAAGGGUGGCCAUAGAGGGUGAUAGCCCCGUAUACGAAAGCCAUACACAAUGAAUCGAGUAGGGCGGGACACGUGAAAUCCUGUCUGAAGAUGGGGGGACCAUCCUCCAAGGCUAAAUACUCGUUGUCGACCGAUAGUGAACCAGUACCGUGAGGGAAAGGCGAAAAGAACCCUGGUGAAGGGAGUGAAAUAGAACCUGAAACCGUGUGCAUACAAGCAGUCAGAGCAUAUGAAGAUAUGUGAUGGCGUACCUUUUGUAUAAUGGGUCAGCGAGUUACAUUCAGUGGCGAGGUUAACCGAAUAGGGGAGCCGUAGCGAAAGCGAGUCUUAAUAGGGCGAUAAGUCUCUGGGUGUAGACCCGAAACCGGGCGAUCUAUCCAUGGGCAGGUUGAAGGUUGAGUAACAUCAACUGGAGGACCGAACCCACGCAUGUUGAAAAAUGCGGGGAUGACCUGUGGAUAGGAGUGAAAGGCUAAACAAGCUCGGAGAUAGCUGGUUCUCCCCGAAAACUAUUGAGGUAGUGCCUUGUAGAUUGACUUACGGGGGUAGAGCACUGUUUCGGCUAGGGGGUCAUACCGACUUACCAACCCGAUGCAAACUCCGAAUACCGUAAAGUUUUACUACAGGAGACACACGGCGGGUGCUAACGUCCGUCGUGAAGAGGGAAACAACCCAGACCGCCAGCUAAGGUCCCGAAAUGACAGUUCAGUGGGAAACGAAGUGGGAAGGCUUAGACAGCUAGGAGGUUGGCUUAGAAGCAGCCAUCCUUUAAAGAAAGCGUAAUAGCUCACUAGUCGAGUCGUCCUGCGCGGAAGAUUUACCGGGGCUAAACUGUCUACCGAAGCUGCGGAUUUGCAUGAAGAUGCAAGUGGUAGGGGAGCGUUGUGUAAGCCGAAGAAGGUGUGUUGAGAAGCAUGCUGGAGGUAUCACAAGUGCGAAUGCUGACAUGAGUAACGAUAAUGCGGGUGAAAAACCCGCACACCGAAAACCCAAGGUUUCCUGCGCAACGCUAAUCGGCGCAGGGUGAGUCGGCCCCUAAGGCGAGGCGGAAACGCGUAGUCGAUGGGAAACAGGUUAAUAUUCCUGUACUGAUCAUAAUUGCGAUGGGGGGACGGAGAAAGCUAGGCCAGCACACUGUUGGAUGUGUGUUUAAGCGCGUAGGUUGGGGAUUUAGGCAAAUCCGGGUUCCUAAGACUGAAACGUGAUGACGAGUUUCUACGGAAACGAAGUGGUUGAUGCUCUGCUUCCAGGAAAAGCCUCUAAGCUUCAGAUUAUGACAACCGUACCCCAAACCGACACAGGUGGGUAGGAAGAGAAUUCCAAGGUGCUUGAGAGAACUCGGGUAAAGGAACUCGGCAAAAUGAUACCGUAACUUCGGGAUAAGGUAUGCCUCUGAUGGUGAAUAGCUGUUGGAGGCCGCAGAGAAUAGGCCGCUGCGACUGUUUAUCAAAAACACAGCACUCUGCAAACACGCAAGUGGACGUAUAGGGUGUGACGCCUGCCCGGUGCCGGAAGGUUAAUUGAUGGGGUGCAAGCUCUUGAUCGAAGCCCCGGUAAACGGCGGCCGUAACUAUAACGGUCCUAAGGUAGCGAAAUUCCUUGUCGGGU